rnacentral:rRNA from 1 species
UACGUAGGGGGCAAGCGUUGUCCGGAAUCAUUGGGCGUAAAGCGCGCGUAGGUGGCCCAGUAAGUCCGUUGUGAAAGUCAAAGGCUCAACCUUUGAAAGCCGAUGGAUACUGCUGGGCUCGAGUCCGGAAGAGGCGAGUGGAAUUCCUGGUGUAGCGGUGGAAUGCGCAGAUAUUAGGAAGAACACCAGUGGCGAAGGCGGCUUCCUGGCCUGUUCUUGACGCUGAGGCGCGAAAGCUAGGGGAGCAAACGGG